rnacentral:rRNA from 1 species
UACGUAGGUGGCAAGCGUUGUUCGGAUUUACUGGGCGUAAAGGGCGCGUAGGCGGCGCGGUAAGUCACUUGUGAAAUCUCUGAGCUUAACUCAGAACGGCCAAGUGAUACUGCAGUGCUAGAGUGCAGAAGGGGCAAUCGGAAUUCUUGGUGUAGCGGUGAAAUGCGUAGAUAUCAAGGGGAACACCUGAGGUGAAGACGGGUUGCUGGGCUGACACUGACGCUGAGGCGCGAAAGCCAGGGGAGCAAACGGG